rnacentral:rRNA from 1 species
UACAGAGGUCUCAAGCGUUGUUCGGAUUCAUUGGGCGUAAAGGGUGUGUAGGUGGCGCCGUAAGUCGGGUGUGAAAUUUCGGAGCUUAACUCCGAAACUGCAUUCGAUACUGCGGUGCUUGAGGACUGGAGAGGAGACUGGAAUUCAUGGUGUAGCAGUGAAAUGCGCAGAUAUCGGGAGGAACACCAGUGGCGAAGGCGGCUGUCUGGGCCAGUACUGACGCUGAGGUGCGAAAGCGUGGGGAGCAAACAGG